rnacentral:rRNA from 1 species
CCUACGGGGGGCAGCAGUAGGGAAUAUUGCUCAAUGGGGGAAACCCUGAAGCAGCAACGCCGCGUGGAGGAUGAAGGUUUUCGGAUUGUAAACUCCUUUUGUUAGAGAAGAUAAUGACGGUAUCUAACGAAUAAGCACCGGCUAACUCCGUGCCAGCAGCCGCGGUAAUACGGAGGGUGCAAGCGUUACUCGGAAUCACUGGGCGUAAAGAGCGCGUAGGCGGGAUAGCAAGUCAGAUGUGAAAUCCUAUGGCUUAACCAUAGAACUGCAUUUGAAACUGUUAUUCUAGAGUAUGGGAGAGGUAGGUGGAAUUCUUGGUGUAGGGGUGAAAUGCGUAGAGAUCAAGAGGAAUACUCAUGGCGAAGGCGACCUGCUAGAACAUAACUGACGCUGAUGCGCGAAAGCGUGGGGAGCAAACAGGAUUAGAUACCCGAGUAGUC